AUUGAACGCUGGCGGCAUGCCUUACACAUGCAAGUCGAACGCCCUGGCAACAGGGAGUGGCAGACGGGUGAGUAACGCGUGGGAACGUGCCCUUCGGUUCGGAAUAACUCAGGGAAACUUGAGCUAAUACCGGAUACGUGCGAGAGCAGAAAGAUUUAUCGCCGAAGGAUCGGCCCGCGUCCGAUUAGCUAGUUGGUGAGGUAACGGCUCACCAAGGCGACGAUCGGUAGCUGGUCUGAGAGGAUGAUCAGCCACACUGGGACUGAGACACGGCCCAGACUCCUACGGGAGGCAGCAGUGGGGAAUAUUGGACAAUGGGCGCAAGCCUGAUCCAGCCAUGCCGCGUGAGUGAUGAAGGCCCUAGGGUUGUAAAGCUCUUUCGCCAGGGACGAUAAUGACGGUACCUGGAUAAGAAGCCCCGGCUAACUUCGUGCCAGCAGCCGCAGUAA
rnacentral:rRNA from 1 species